ACACCCGGAAGCCUCUCCAGGGAGAGGAAGCCGGCGGCCUCACCGCUAUGGGCCGCAACAAGAAGAAGCAGCGAGAUGGCGACGACCGGCGGCCCAGGCUCGUUCUUAGCUUCGACGAGGAGAAGAGGCGGGAGUACCUGACAGGCUUCCACAAGCGGAAGGUUGAGCGAAAGAAGGCAGCCAUUGAGGAGAUUAAGCAGCGGCUGAAAGAGGAGCAGAGGAAGCUCCGGGAGGAGCGCCACCAGGAAUACUUGAAGAUGCUGGCAGAGAGAGAAGAGGCGCUGGAGGAGGCAGAUGAGCUGGACCGGUUGGUGACAGCAAAGACGGAGUCGGUGCAGUAUGACCACCCCAACCACACAGUCACCGUGACCACCAUCAGUGACCUGGACCUCUCGGGGGCCCGGCUGCUUGGGCUGACCCCACCUGAGGGAGGGGCUGGAGACGAGUCUGAGGAGGAGGCAUCAUCCACAGAGAAACCAACCAAAGCCUUGCCCAGGAAGUCCAGAGACCCCCUGCUCUCUCAGCGGUGAGUCUUGGCCUACUGCCUCCCUGGUCCCACCCCUCCUGGCUGGCAGUGGUGACCUGGCCCUUAGGGGUGGUGUGGAGCAGAUGUAGGGCCCGGAGCAGCCCUCU
rnacentral:sRNA from 1 species